UAUUUCACAAGAUUAAUAAAAUAUACACACACAAAAAAAGGGCAUAACAAUGUAGCCGCAAUAUGAAUAGUGCAGUGCAAGUUCUAUAUAAAGGUUAAAGAAACCGCGGGUUUAGAACACGGGUACAAAUUCAGAGUUGCAUUCUUCUUCCCCAACAUCAGAAGAAAAAGCUUCCUCAACUCCAUAUUUCGGCGCCUCUGAUUUGUUGUGCUGCAACGCCCUUUGCUUGGAACUGCCCGUGUUUGCGAUGCCUGAUGUCUUGGUUUAUUUGCUUGCCUUGGAAACUUUUUAUCUCUAGUGCUGGUGUAUUUUCUCAAGUAGUAAGCCAGACCGUUGUAAGCUCAAGCUUUAGAAAAUCCUGGAUGGGAACACAUGUGUGGAUGAAUCUAGUUACAAAUUUAAAUUGGUUGUGCAGCUUGACUUCAUGCAACUGUUUGAGUUUCUAAUAAAUGCUUUUGCAAUGGUUUAUUUGUUUGUCAA